AGAGUUUGAUCCUGGCUCAGGAUAAACGCUGGCGGCGCACAUAAGACAUGCAAGUCGAACGGAAGUCGUUAUAAAAGGAGAGAAGAUUUAUCGGAUUGAAUUUUAUAACAAUGGCUUUAGUGGCGGACUGGUGAGUAACGCGUAAGGAACCUACCUAUUAGAGGGGAACAACAAUGAGAAAUCAUUGCUAAUACCGCAUAUGCCAUAACUACCGCAUGGUAGAAGUGUAGAAAGGAGUAAUUCGCUGAUAG
rnacentral:rRNA from 1 species